GCCUGGGUGGCUCAGUUGGUUAAGCAUCUGACUUGGGCUCAGGUCAUGAUCUCGCGGUUGUUGAGUUCGAACCUUGAAUCAGGCU
rnacentral:tRNA from 1 species